UACGAAGGGGGGCUAGCGUUGUUCGGAAUUUACUGGGCGUUAAAGGGCGCGUAGGGCUGGCCUUGAUAGUUGGGCGUGAAAGGCCUGGGCUUAACCCGGGAACUGCGUUCAAUACUGCGGAGGCUAGAGUGUGGGAGAGGUUGGUGGAAUUCCCAGUGUAGAGGUGAAAUUCGUAGAUAUCGGGAAGAACACCAGUGGCGAAAGCGCUCUACUGGGCCAUAACUGACACUGAGGGGACGAAAGCUAGGGGAGCGAAAAGGG
rnacentral:rRNA from 1 species